GACGGGGGGGGCAAGUGUUCUUCGGAAUGACUGGGUGUAAAGGGCACGUAGGCGGUGAAUCGGGUUGAAAGUGAAAGUCGCCAAAAAGUGGCGGAAUGCUCUCGAAACCAAUUCACUUGAGUGAGACAGAGGAGAGUGGAAUUUCGUGUGUAGGGGUGAAAUCCGUAGAUCUACGAAGGAACGCCAAAAGCGAAGGCAGCUCUCUGGGUCCCUACCGACGCUGGGGUGCGAAAGCAUGGGGAGCGAACAGG
rnacentral:rRNA from 1 species